rnacentral:rRNA from 1 species
GAUGAACGCUAGCGACAGGCUUAACACAUGCAAGUCGAGGGGCAGCGGGGGAGUAGCAAUACUCCCGCCGGCGACCGGCGCACGGGUGAGUAACACGUAUGAAACCUGCCCGUAGCAGGGGGAUAAGCGGAAGAAAUUCCGUCUAAUACCGCGUAACAACCCAUGGAGGCAUCUCCGUGGGUUUAAAGGAAGCGAUUCCGGCUACGGAUGGUCAUGCGUCGCAUUAGCUAGUUGGCGGGGUAACGGCCCACCAAGGCGACGAUCAGUAGCCGGACUGAGAGGUUGGCCGGCCACAUUGGGACUGAGACACGGCCCAG